rnacentral:rRNA from 1 species
AUUGAACGCUAGCGGGAUGCCUUACACAUGCAAGUCGAACGGAGUGGCGAACGGGUGAGUAAUGUAUCGGAACGUGCCCAGUAGCGGGGGAUAACUACGCGAAAGCGUAGCUAAUACCGCAUACUAUUGGAGCGGCCGAUAUCGGAUUAGCUAGUUGGUGGGGUAACGGCUCACCAAGGCGACGAUCCGUAGCUGGUUUGAGAGGACGACCAGCCACACUGGGACUGGGACACGGCCCAGAGUCCUACGGGAGGCAGCAGUGGGGAAUUUUGGACAAUGGGCGAAAGCCUGAUGCAGCGACGCCGCGUGGGGGAUGAAGGCUUUCGGGUUGUAAACCUCUUUCGCUAUCGAACGGGUAGGUGGAGAAGAAGCGCCGGCUAACUACGUGCCAGCAGCCGCGGUAAUUC